rnacentral:rRNA from 1 species
ACGCUAUCACUCCUACGGGAGGCAGCAGUAAGGAAUAUUGGACAAUGGGCGCAAGCCUGAUCCAGCCAUCCCGCGUGCAGGAAGACAGCCCUAUGGGUUUAAACUGCUUUUAGAAGGGAAGAAACGCCUACAUUUAUGUGGGCUUUGACGGUACCUUCAGAAUAAGCACCGGCUAACUCCGUGCCAGCAGCCGCGGUAAUUACGGAGGGUGCAAGCGUUAUCCGGAAUCAUUGGGUUUAAAGGGUCCGCAGGCGGUCAAUUAAGUCAGAGGUGAAAUCCUAUAGCUUAACUGUAGAACUGCCUUUGAUACUGGUUGACUUGAGUUAUACGGAAGUAGGUAGAAUGUGUAGUGUAGCGGUGAAAUGCAUAGUAUUACACAGAAUACCGAUUGCGAAGGCAGCCUACUACGUAUAUACUGACGCUCAUGGACGAAAGCGUGGGGAGCAAACAGGAUUAGAUACCCUGGUAG